CAUGCUCUCUCUCUCUCUCUCUGUGUGUGUGUGUGUGUGUGUGUGUGUGUGUGUGUGUGUGUGUGUGUGUGUGUGUGUGUGUGUGUGUGUGUGUGUGUGUGUGUGUGUGUGUGUGUGUGUGUGUGUGCCUGUGACACAGCACCAGAAGGACGUGGACAAACAACGGAAAGAGAAGGAGCAGCAGGAGAAAGAGCAACAGCUGGAGCUUCAAAGACAACUGGAGAGACAGCUGGAAGUGGUUAACAAGGUGAGAGUAGAUAGUGUGUGUCUGUGUGUGUGUGUGUGUGUGUCUGUUUAUGGCAAACAUAGAAAGUGGGCGAGAGGUGCAUUAUUUUCUCUCUGUGGUUUUCACAGGAAAAAGCGUGUAUGGUGGCCCAAAUAGCCCAAAUGGAGCAGGAGGCAACGCAGUGCAAGGAGAGGAUCGAAGGGCUGGUGUUGACUCAGGAGAAACUAGAGAAGUCUCUCAAUGACCAGAUACUGGCUCGCCUAGAGGAGGAGACCAAACGGAAAGACCUGGAAAGACGGUUAGAGGAGGAACAGCAGAAAGUUGAGCAGUUACUGAGCGUCCACAAGAACACAGACAGCAGCGCACUCAAAGAAAAGGAGGAGGAGGAGCAGGAGGAGAGCCAACAGCCUGCGGUCGAGGAGCAGGCCUCCUCCUCCACUGUCUCCAGCCUGACUCCUCCACCCGAGGGCGGCUCCCAACCCCAUACUGCAGAUCCUCCCAUUCUCUCUCCGAUGGCCUCCACACCAGACCAAGCACCUCAGGAGCUCCCCCGCCUACCAGAGAAGAAGAAGACGGGAGAGAGACAACAGCGCCAUCUAGAGAAAGCAAAAUUACUGGAUGGUCAGCGUGAUCUGAAGCAGUGGAACGUCCAGUUUAACCGCCUCAUGACACCUAUCACACCUGGAGACCGGAUAGACCACCGUCCUCCCGCAAAGAUCAGCUGCCCCAAACAGGACCGGGCUCUUACCAGCACCGAAUUCAUCACCAAGUUCCAGUCAAACCAUAGGAAGGAGGGGGAGGAGGAAGAGAGCCAAUCACAGGCUGGGAGCCAGUCCGACCAAAAGGCCUCAGCCGACGGACCACACCAAUGAGAGUGACAAUCACAUUUGUAGAUAUGAAGUCAAAAGCACAGCAGUUCAGAUGCUCAAGACAGCAUUAGUUCCUGUUGUAUUGCAAUGAGAGGAAGCCAGACUCCUUUCAGAGUGAUUGUUGACAGGUUUCGGGUUUCAGGAUUGAGGAUACACCUUUUAUACUCUUCUUCCUCUUUUGACUGAAACACGCUGUGGAACUGCCACUUGUGGUCAUUUUUUCCUGCACAGUUAGAAAACGGUCAAAUUCAUCUGUCGAGUUGCUAGACUGGGUAUGCCUACAAGUGGUUUUAGUGGCCUACGGUGGCUUUUUAAUGAAAAAAACUAUUGUGGGCAAUUAAACUCCAUAUCAACACUAAUAGUUGUUACAUCUCAUUACGAGACAAAAGGGCCUGCCCUUUUUUAAUUUUCAUAUUAUUGUAAUUAUAUCUUUAUCUGAGUGCAUUCAGUACUGUUGCUUUGAGUUUAAUGUCACUAAUGGUAAUUUGAGAAUUAUAAUACUAAAAAUGUUAAGCAUAAAUAUGAGGAAAAUGGCCAGUUCUUGCCUUGUCUGUCAUGUACUGAAUAAAAUGAAAUUAAUAAAAUAAUUUAUUAAGAAA
rnacentral:lncRNA from 1 species